ensembl:lncRNA
GAAACUGGAAAACCUAGCUUCAGACUCCAACCCGGGGUCUUGCAUCUCCCUUUUGUGUUCAAAGCCCCUGUGACUUGACAAUCCCUUUCAGGCAUCCAGCCUCACUAGAUAGAACCUGCCCUGUGUAGCCCUACCUAAACUUCCAAACCCAUCUCAAAAAUCACUUUCCUGAGUCGUCCAAAACCUCCUUCCACUCCCAUGCUGUGCUGCCUGUGAAUGAGGCCCCCCUGCCUCCCACCAUCACUCACACGCUCUGUUAGAAGCAUGGCAGUGGCAUUUCUACCUGAAGCUGAAGCUGUGUUCGUGCAGCAAUACUGACUUCAGGUUAGUGUUAGGGGCUGGGCUGAGGCAGGAAGUAGCCCCAUACCAGUGGGCUCAGAAGAGCUCUGGCAGGGCUGACACUACCUUAUGUCCUUCAUGGGCCCAAGCUUGCUAAAGCCUCCCUUAGCUACAGUUCUGGGUGUGGAGGGAAGCUUCAUAGUUCCUGGGAGCUGACUGACUAGAGGGGAUCCAAAGGCUAUAUUUACCAGCAUGCUUUGGUCACAGUCACAUCCUGUCUUCUUACUCUCAUGCCCCCUGCUCCCAACCCUUCCCUUGAGGAGUCUCGUUUCCGCUGUGGAGCACAUGCCAGCCCUGGAGCUAGGAACCACAUCAGGGCAGAUGUCUGUCUCCAGCCUCUGUGGGCCAGCAGCUGGGCAUGUGACUCUUCAGUGGUCAGGAGAGCACGCAGUGCUGGUAUCAACCCACCCUUGGCUGCUGCUGGACUCUCUCCAUGGUACCCAAUGCUGUCUCAUUGGCACAGGAUGUCGCCUUCUGCAAACAGGGUCUCACUAUGUAACCCUGUUACAGACCUUUGCUCCACUUACCUUUUUAACAACCCUGCAGUGAAUGACAAACAGAAGUGACAGCCUCCAAGCCGAGCGUGAUCAGGUCUACUUUCCCGGAUCAAUAAAUAUGACACAACUUACACCAGUUAUGCUGGGCCUUCCCUGGGCCUCAGGACUAACAGUCAAUGGUCUAUUUCGGAACAUUACAUAGAGCAGUCUUCCAGCUUAGACUGCACACUAAGCCACCUAGUUGUCUUGUACACCGUCUAGCACGUG